rnacentral:rRNA from 1 species
CAGUAGCCACGGUAAUACAGAGGGUGCGAGCGUUAAUCGGAUUUACUGGGCGUAAAGCGUGCGUAGGCGGCUUCUUAAGUCGGAUGUGAAAUCCCUGAGCUUAACUUAGGAAUUGCAUUCGAUACUGGGAAGCUAGAGUAUGUGAGAGGAUGGUAGAAUUCCAGGUGUAGCGGUGAAAUGCGUAGAGAUCUGGAGGAAUACCGAUGGCGAAGGCAGCCAUCUGGCCUAAUACUGACGCUGAGGUACGAAAGCAUGGGGAGCAAACAGGAUUAGAUACCCCUGUAGUCCCUGUCUCUUAUAC